rnacentral:rRNA from 1 species
GAUGAACGCUAGCGAUAGGCCUAACACAUGCAAGUCGAGGGGCAUCACAUGAAGUAGCAAUACGGAUGGUGGCGACCGGCGCACGGGUGAGUAACACGUAUGCAACCUGCCUUCAACAAGGGGAUAACCCGUUGAAAGACGGACUAAUACCCUAUAACACAGGGGUCCCGCAUGGGAAUAUUUGUUAAAGGACAACCGGUUGAAGAUGGGCAUGCGUUCCAUUAGCUAGUUGGCGGGUAACGGCCCACCAAGGCAACGAUGGAUAGGGGAACUGAGAGGUUUAUCCCCCACACUGGUACUGAGACACGGACCAGACUCCUACGGGAGGCAGCAGUGAGGAAUAUUGGUCAAUGGACGCAAGUCUGAACCAGCCACGUCGCGUGAAGGAAGACGGCCCUACGGGUUGUAAACUUCUUUUAUACGGGAAUAAAGUGCCCCACGCGUGGGGUUUUGCAUGUACCGUAUGAAUAAGGAUCGGCUAACUCCGUGCCAGCAGCCGCGGUAAGUACUGACUCA